GAUGAACGCUGGCGGCGUGCCUAAUACAUGCAAGUCGAGCGAACAGACGAGGAGCUUGCUCCUCUGACGUUAGCGGCGGACGGGUGAGUAACACGUGGAUAACCUACCUAUAAGACUGGGAUAACUUCGGGAAACCGGAGCUAAUACCAGAUAACAUGUUGAACCGCAUGGUUCAACAGUGAAAGACGGUCUUGCUGUCACUUAUAGAUGGAUCCGCGCCGCAUUAGCUAGUUGGUAAGGUAACGGCUUACCAAGGCAACGAUGCGUAGCCGACCUGAGAGGGUGAUCGGCCACACUGGAACUGAGACACGGUCCAGACUCCUACGGGAGGCAGCAGUAGGGAAUCUUCCGCAAUGGGCGAAAGCCUGACGGAGCAACGCCGCGUGAGUGAUGAAGGUCUUCGGAUCGUAAAACUCUGUUAUUAGGGAAGAACAAAUGUGUAAGUAACUAUGCACGUCUUGACGGUACCUAAUCAGAAAGCCACGGCUAACUACGUGCCAGCAGCCGCGGUAAUACGUAGGUGGCAAGCGUUAUCCGGAAUUAUUGGGCGUAAAGCGCGCGUAGGCGGUUUUUUAAGUCUGAUGUGAAAGCCCACGGCUCAACCGUGGAGGGUCAUUGGAAACUGGAAAACUUGAGUGCAGAAGAGGAAAGUGGAAUUCCGUGUGUAGCGGUGAAAUGCGCAGAGAUAUGGAGGAACACCAGUGGCGAAGGCGACUUUCUGGUCUGUAACUGACGCUGAUGUGCGAAAGCGUGGGGAUCAAACAGG
rnacentral:rRNA from 1 species